CUAGCACCUUCUGAUUUACAAGUUAUGCACGGUGUUUCCCAUUUAAUAUACGCGUAUCGCAUAUGAUGCACAUGUUCGAUUGUCUCUGGAAUACAACCACGUUGGAGUUCUCUUUCUGUGAUAUUGUGUGUAUGAGAUAUAAGUAUUUUUUUGUCAGUGGAUUCCAGUGAAGCAGUAGUGUUGAUCACGUGGCAAUACACUGAAAUCUGUAGACCAAUCAGAGCCUGAGAAAUGUCCCGGCAUAAUUAAGGGCUGCGAUCUGAACUAUCAGUCUCCGUCUGCAUGCGAUUCAAGCUUGGAGAGCGAAAAGGACACUGAACGCUGCUCUAUACUAUAGUAAUUGCUCAUGAUCCUUAAAAGAAAAGGAGAAAAGUAAGGCUACCGAAACAAGUCACACCCUGAAGUUGACAGUGAUUCUAAUACAGAAUCAGAAAGCAAGUGUUCAUUUGACCUGGAUGAAGACUUUGCCUUCAUGGAAGGAAUGGAUCCUGUUCUUCAUCGUCAGGAGAGUGAUGUUGAUUGGGAGCCGAAAUAUACAAAGAUAAACAGACACAGCAGGACACCUAAAGCCACUCUGUCCGGCAAACAAAGUGCCCCCUUUAUUUUAAAAGGGAAACAUGCCGUAUCGAAGCAUCAAGCGCCCAGUCAGGUGGGCGUGGAUCUGGGACAGCGGGCCUGCUCUCUGCUGGUUUCAACUGAAGGGGAAUCCAGCUGUGCAGCUCAUAAGGACCGAAGAUUGCCCCCCACUUCUCCUUAUUCCAGAUAAAAGCGAUUGUGGGCGAUUAGACAUGCCGAGGGAAGAGUACAAGCUGGGGGAAAAAAAUCCAGUGGCUUCCUCUCACCAUGAACUAACUGUAUGCUUACACUGCCGGUCUUUUGUGCUUUUUGUUUUUCAAACUGAAUACGACCGCUUACUAAUUGGUUGAAAAACCGCCUGAAAAAUUUUCUUUCUGUGCUCUGGGAUAUGGAUCUGGAGAAAACAUGAAGAAAGGGGACGAGAAUUAUGACCGGCUCUGCAAAAUCAAGCCCUUUGACAGUAUAAAGAUAUCAUUCCAGCCUGUAUCGCACGUUUUUAUCCCAACAGACAUCUGGCAGUGGAUGAAAGGAUGGUGGUCACCAAGGCUUGUAUAGCACUCGGGCAGUAUGUGAAGGAUUGGUCCAGUAAAUGGGGUUGCAAGCCUCUUGUGAUGGCAGAUUCUGGGCCUGGGUAGACAUGGAACUUAUUCUGUAUGAUAGGAAAACCACCAUGGCAUCUGGCAAAGUACUGGGCUAUGACUCCCCAUGUUUGCCAGAGGAUCCAAACAGUACAUGGGUAACUUUAACACCAGUCCAAUCCUUUUUGCUGACCUGUAGAGUGCACAGCUUCUUACUUGUUGGACAAUUAACACAAACUGACUGGGCUUUCCAGACACAGUGCAUUGACUUGUAGGGCUGUAAAAAAACUAUUAUUUAGAUCGUCGAUUAAUCACAUAAUCAAUUGAUUUACCUAGUCAUUAAACAAAUACUAUUUUGAGAAAACAUCCAGAGUCACACUUGUAAUGGAAAUUAUACUUUAACAACCGUUCCUAGAAGUUUGCCUCUUUCAGUACACUGCUUGUAUUUGUGUUUGUUGCAAUACAUCUGCCUUCUGUUGGUCAGGUAGAAUAUACAGUAAUUCCCGUUCACACGGGUCUGACACAUGGCAUCUGCGUCCAUGGACAAAUGCAGUAUGUACACAAGAGUCUAUGCUCGCACCAGUAAAGGCAUGUGGAGAAGUGACGUAUGAACUAGGCUCAACACACCGACGUUAAGUUUGCUAGGUGAUAAUGUCAUACGCAAUUUACGCAGCAAACUGCGAAAAAUGCAGCUGAUCAAUGACAAAAUCUGGCAACUGUUUUUAUUACCUAUUAUUGUUGAUGUUAUCGAUUAGUUGUUGCAGCCCUGGUACCCAGUCAAAAAAUGUGCAGAGGGUCUCGAUCAGCUGUAUUGGUGUAGGACUGGCCUCUUUGAGUAAUAAAUCCAAUAAACAAACUGUUCUGAGUG